rnacentral:rRNA from 1 species
AUUGAACGCUGGCGGCAUGCUUUACACAUGCAAGUCGAACGGUAACAGGCCGCAAGGUGCUGACGAGUGGCGAACGGGUGAGUAAUGCAUCGGAACGUGCCCAGUCGUGGGGGAUAACGCAGCGAAAGCUGCGCUAAUACCGCAUACGAUCUAUGGAUGAAAGCGGGGGACCGAAAGGCCUCGCGCGAUUGGAGCGGCCGAUGUCAGAUUAGGUAGUUGGUGGGGUAAAGGCUCACCAAGCCAACGAUCUGUAGCUGGUCUGAGAGGACGACCAGCCACACUGGGACUGAGACACGGCCCAGACUCCUACGGGAGGCAGCAGUGGGGAAUUUUGGACAAUGGGCGCAAGCCUGAUCCAGCAAUGCCACGUGCAGGAAGAAGGCCUUCGGGUUGUAAACUGCUUUUGUACGGAACGAAACGGUCCGGGUUAAUACCCUGGGCUAAUGACGGUACCGUAAGAAUAAGCACCGGCUAACUACGUGCCAGCCGCCGCUGUAACAC